rnacentral:misc_RNA from 1 species
AACGCACAUUGCGCCCCGUGGUAUUCCGCGGGGCAUGCCUGUUCGAGCGUCAUUAUCAACCCAAUCACGCACGGCGUGGUCUUGGGGCUGGCAGCUCUGCCGCCCCUAAAGACAGUGGCAGCGCCGUAGGGCUCUUAGCGUAGUAAUACUUCUCGCUAUAGGGUCUUGCGGCCGCCCGCCAGCAACCCCAUCUUUCUCGGUUGACCUCGGAUCAGGUAGGGAUACCCGCUGAACUUAA